GCCGGGCAUGGUGGCGGAUGCCUGUAAUCCCAGCUACUCGGGAGGCUGAGGCAGGAGAAUUGCUUGAACCUGGGAGGUGGAGGUUGCAGUGAGCUGAGGUCGUGCCACUGCACUCCAGCCUGGGUGACAAGAGCAAGACUCUGUCUCAA
ensembl:misc_RNA Metazoa_SRP Metazoan signal recognition particle RNA